rnacentral:rRNA from 1 species
GCCAGUGACCAUAUCAUCCUGCAACUCACAACUGGCAACCCACUGAAGCUCAGCAGGUGUGAGCCUGGCCAGUACCUGGAUGGGAGACCUCCUGGGAAAAACUAAGGUUGCUGCUGGAA